CCUACGGGAGGCUGCAGUGAGGAAUUUUCGUCAAUGGGCGCAAGCCUGAACGAGCGAUGCCGCGUGAGUGAAGAAGGCCUACGGGUCGUAAAGCUCUGUUGCGGGGGAAAAAAGGAAGCAGCAGGGAAUGGGGGCUGACUGAUGGUGCCCCGACAGAAAGUCACGGCUAACUACGUGCCAGCAGCCCCGGUAAUACGUAGGUGGCGAGAGUUAGCCGGAAGGGUUGGGCGUAAAGGGUGCGCAGGCGGUGCUGCAAGUCUGGAGUGAAACGCAUGAGCUCAACUCAUGCAUGGCCUUGGAAACGGGAGGACUGGAGAGGAGGAGAGGGCGGUGGAACGCCAUGUGUAGCGGUAAAAUGCGUAGAUAUAUGGAAGAACACCAGUGGCGAAGGCGGCCGCCUGGCCUGUUGCUGACGCUGAGGCACGAAAGCGUGGGGAGCAAAUAGGAUUAGAUACCCGGGUAGUC
rnacentral:rRNA from 1 species